UUAAUAAAUAAUUAUAAAUGUGUGUGUGUGUGUGUGUGUGCGCGUGUGUGUACCAGUGUUGUGUUCAAGUCCACCUAAAGCGAGACCAAUUCACGACCAAGACAGGUGCAAAUCAAGUCCGAGUCAAGAACAAGGCCAGACAGGGGGCGAGACUGAGUAAAGAACAAGACUAGCCAGGGGUCGAGACCGAGUCAAGAACAAGACCAGACAGGGGGCGAGACCGAGUCAAGAACAAGACCAGACAGGGGGCGAGACCGAGUCAAGAACAAGGCCAGACAGGGGGGCGAGACUGAGUAAAGAACAAGACCAGACAGGGGGCGAGACCGAGUCAAGAACAAGACCAGACAGGAGGCGAGACCGAGUCAAGAACAAGACCAGCCAGGGGUCGAGACCGAGUCAAGAACAAGGCCAGACAGGGGGUGAGACCGAGUCCAGAACAAGACCAGACAGGGGGUGAGACCGAGUCAAGAACAAGAACAGACAAGGGGUGAGACCGAGUCAAGAACAAGACCAGACAGGGGGUGAGACCGAGGCAAAUAGAGACACUCUAUACAUUAUUAGUAACCCAAACACAGUGGAGAACAAUGACGGCCUUCUACGCCUUCAGAGAAAGGCUAAA
ensembl:lncRNA